rnacentral:misc_RNA from 1 species
GGGUGUGCGCGGAGGGCCCUCCCCGCGGCAUCUCGGUGUCGCGUGAUGCAGCCGAGCGAGCUAGCCGACACCGCGCACGCCGCUAGCGGAAACCCCCCGCAGCGUGGCCUCAACGGCGGCCGUUUCGACUUUGACGAUGGUGGUACAUAUUGUGGUGGAUGGGAGGAUGGCAAAGCCCACGGCCAUGGUGUUUGUACUGGACCAAAAGGACAGGGCGCCUACGCCGGCUCCUGGCACUUCGGCUUUGAAGUUUCCGGUGUCUACACCUGGCCCAGUGGUAGCUCAUACGAGGGUCAAUGGCAGAACGGCAAGCGCCAUGGACUGGGGGUGGAGACCCGAGACCGGUGGCUGUACCGGGGCGAGUGGACGCAGGGCUACAAGGGUCGGUACGGCGUGCGGCAAAGUACUACCAGCAACGCGAAAUAUGAGGGCACAUGGGCCAAUGGACUCCAAGACGGAUACGGCUCGGAAACUUACGCGGAUGGCGGAACAUACCAAGGACAAUGGAUGCGAGGGUUGCGGCACGGGUACGGUGUUCGUACAUCUGCGCCUUUCGGGCUCGCGUCGCAUUACCGCGGCGGAGCGCGACAUGGCCACCGCGGCUCGCUUUCGUCGCUCACAGAAGCGGCCGGCACGCCGGACCCUUCGGAGAGGCGGACCACUCGUAUGGACGAUGCAAGAGGAGGCUUUGUCCUCAAGAAGUUACGUAAGCAGCGCAGCGCCGGCGAGCUGGACAAGCGCGGCACAGGGUCCGUCCGCUCAGGAGGCUCAGGGGGCUCAGGCUCCUCUUGGGUGUCUUCGGUAGAAAGCUCUCACUCUGCUAUGACCCAUGCCUCCCUACAGACAAACUCAAAUGCUAGCUUCGUUGUAGAGGAUGAACAUUUAGACGCAAGCGUAACGGAAACUUACAUGGGCGAAUGGAAAAACGAUAAACGCACAGGGUUUGGAGUUAGUGAACGCAGCGACGGACUACGUUAUGAAGGCGAAUGGUUUGGAAACAGAAAAUACGG